rnacentral:rRNA from 1 species
UCCGUAGGUGGAUAAUUAAGUCAGGGGUGAAAGUCUGCAGCUCAACUGUAGAAUUGCCUUUGAUACUGGUUAUCUUGAAUUAUUGUGAAGUAGUUAGAAUAUGUAGUGUAGCGGUGAAAUGCAUAGAUAUUACAUAGAAUACCAAUUGCGAAGGCAGAUUACUAACAAUAUAUUGACACUGAUGGACGAAAGCGUGGGGAGCGAACAGGAUUAGAUACCCUGGUAGUCC